GGAGGCAACUGCGCAGGCGCAUAUGUGGCCCCAGCGGCCGCCAUGGCAGACAGCCGCCCCACUGGGGGCCCCCCGUUGACUGACCCGGGCCCCGGGCCAGGCAGUACCAACACAGGGCCCCGAGUCUACUUCCAGAGUCUCCCUGGGACCUCAGACGAAACCCCUGACCCGGAGAACAACCUGGAUGAAGAUGGCCAGGUGAGACGGCGAGGGAAGAUCGUUGUCAAGUAUAACCGCAAGGAGCUCCGCAAGCGCCUCCACCUGGACGACUGGAUCUUAGAACAGCUCACGGGGCUCUACGACUGCAAGGAAGAGGAAAUCCCAGAGCUCGAGAUCGAUGUGGAUGAACUCUUGGACAUGGAAAGCGACGAUAUCCGGGCUGCUAGAGUUAAGGAGCUGUUAGUUGACUGUUACAAACCCACCGAGGCCUUCAUCAAUGGCCUGCUAGACAAGAUCCGGGGCAUGCAGAAACUGAGCAUAUCCCUGAAGAACUAAAAGGGAGCAGAGCCCAGUGACAUGUGACCAGAGGAGAAAGUAUACAUGCAGAAGACGGAGGACCAAGGGAGGACAUAGAACGAAGGACUUGGAGCUGCUGUCACCCCUUCUUAUACCUGAAGGAGGAGUUCAAGUUAUCCCCUUGCCCACCUCAGAGGAUGGAGAACCAGGAAAUCUACCCUUCCAGGACCUGGAGCUUUCCCAAGGCACUUCCUGCUAAGCUUAACCUCCACCUGGCAGCCUUGCUAAAUUCAGUUUUCCCAAUCCACAGCCAGGACCUGUGCUCAAGCCAGGAUAUCAUCCCAGGCUUGCUGGGGUUAGCAAUGUACAAAACUCUUCAGUUUCUCCUGUUGUGAGUUCAAACAACAGUCUGCAGCUUUUAAAGACAUUGAAGCUGGUUUCCCUUAUGCUACAGAGACACGGGAAUUAGUAUCCUACAUCUUUGGGUUUGAAUUCUGUUCCCAUCACUUACUAGCUCUGCAAGUCCCAUAAAUCAUAAAACCCAUUCAAGUAUCUUUUUUGCUCCUGUUAAAUGGCAACAAUAAAGCACCUCAUAUGGUGAGAAGUUACCUCCAGUACACCAAAAAGCUAGCAACAAUCUCCAUUUCUUUCGUGUUUCUCCCCUGCCUCUCUUUCUUACAAGUGUUGUUACUUUUGGCUCAUUUUCUUCAUUGAAUGGGGACAAGGAAGACAGUAAUACAAAUGUACAUUUACAGUUGUUUAGAAAAUAAAAUUAAUGAGCCGAAA